rnacentral:lncRNA from 10 species
UUAAAUGGGAAGCAUCUGACCUACUUUUUUUUACUGCAUGGGGCCUGGGAGGUCAAGCCUGUUUCCCCGGACCCUUCAGGCCAAUUCUCCAUCACUGUGGCUCCAUGGUAGGAUACAGAUGGAGAAUUCCCAGACCUUGCUUAUUUGCCUCAGCCCUGCUAAGCAGGCAGUUGGAAUAGAAUGGCCUCCCCAUUGGUCAAGGAAAGGUAGGCAUAAAGCAGUCCCCAGGCAAAACUCUCAUAGGUGAUCUCUAAUAGAAUAUCCCUCUACAAAAGAGUUACUCAUUGAGAAUUGUAAAACAAGAGGCACUCACGAAUAUUAGACUGGACUGCAGCAUGGAGAAGACAAGCUGAGUGUUGUCCAUGGCCUAGAAUGCUAGGUGUAAGGGAACCAUUUACUUUCUUCUCUGCUCAAGAGGCAUUAUCAGAAUGUAAGUGAUUGAAAUGC